UACGGAAGGCAGCAGUGGGGAAUAUUGCACAAUGGGCGCAAGCCUGAUGCAGCCAUGCCGCGUGUAUGAAAAAGGCCUUCGGGUUGUAAAGUACUUUCAGUCGUGAGGAAGGUGUUAAGGUUAAUAACCUUAGCAAUUGACGUUAGCGACAGAAGAAGCACCGGCUAACUCCGUGCCAGCAGCCGCGGUAAUACGGAGGGUGCGAGCGUUAAUCGGAAUUACUGGGCGUAAAGGGCACGCAGGCGGUUAAUUAAGUUGGAUGUGAAAUCCCCGGGCUUAACCUGGGAAUGGCAUUCAAGACUGGUUAGCUAGAGUCUUGUAGAGGGGGUAGAAUUCCAUGUGUAGCGGUGAAAUGCGUAGAGAUGUGGAGGAAAUACCGGUGGCGAAAGGCGGCCCCUGGACAAAAGACUGACGCUCAUGUGCGAAAGCGUGGGGAGCAAAACAGGGAUUAGAUACC
rnacentral:rRNA from 1 species